UCAGCUCGUGUCGUGAGAUGUUGGGUUAAGUCCCGCAACGAGCGCAACCCUUGUCAUUAAUUGCCAUCAUUUAGUUGGGCACUUUAAUGAGACUGCCGGUGACAAACCGGAGGAAGGUGGGGAUGACGUCAAGUCCUCAUGGCCCUUAUGGGUAGGGCUUCACACGUCAUACAAUGGUCGGUACAGAGGGUUGCCAAGCCGCGAGGUGGAGCCAAUCCCAGAAAGCCGAUCGUAGUCCGGAUCGCAGUCUGCAACUCGACUGCGUGAAGUCGGAAUCGCUAGUAAUCGCGGAUCAGCAUGUCGCGGUGAAUACGUUCCCGGGUCUUGUACACACCGCCCGUCACACCAUGGGAGUGGGUUCUACCAGAAGUAGUUAGCCUAACCGUAAGGAGGGCGAUUACCACGGUAGGAUUCAUGACUGGGGUGAAGUCGUAACAAG
rnacentral:rRNA from 1 species